AGCAAUUGUUCAUUAUGGUUUGCCAUCAUCUCUCCCUUUACAACAGCUCAGGUCCCAAUUUAAACUAUAACCUUUCCCUUAGAGGUCACCAAAAAGUCUUAAGUCUUCUUACAUUUAAACCAUUCACGGGAGCUUUUUGAGCCAAGAUCUUGAAGUUUCAUUUACUCAUUCGUUACACACCUCAUUAUGGGAGGGAAAAAGAAAAGAAAUUUGACAUUUCUAUCAAACCGUGCAUUACCAAAAGGUCACCGAUCUAACGUAGAUUGUAAGCUCUUUGGGGAAGGGACUUCUUUUGUUCUGGGUUUGUAGAAUGCCUCGCACAAAAUUGGAGCUCCUUGGCACUAGGAAAAUACAAAUAAUAAAUAGCAAUUUUCAACACUCACCUCAUGAGCCUUUUGCAAUUUAAUACACAUCUGCCAAGACUACUAAUGUUCCAAACCUUUGUUCAACUUCACAUUUCUGCCUUUUUAAAUCAACCUGUGACAUUUCCCUCUCCCACAAUGUGAAAUUUCCCCUCCCCUGCCAAAAAAUAAAAUAAAAUAAAAUAAAAAAAAUGGAUUUGAGACCUGUCAACUCUACAAGGUAAAAAACAUUAGUUGCCAAGAUACUCAAAAGUAAAGAAGUAAUAUUUAGGUGCACCCCCAGGAGAAACGCUUUAAAAGGACUUCACUUCGGUACCCA